AUACCCUGGUUUAUCUUCAGAUUGUAUAAAUCUUCUGCCUUUUGCUAAAGAUUUCCAUGGAAAGGAACAUUUAAGUAAAAAAGAAUAGGUUAAUAAAUUGUAAUAUAUCUAUAGGUGUGG
ensembl:snRNA U5 U5 spliceosomal RNA